UGGCGGACGGGUGAGUAACGCGUGGGUAACCUGCCCUGUACAGGGGGAUAACAGUUAGAAAUGACUGCUAACACCGCAUAAGCGCACGGUAAGGCAUCUUAGUGUGUGAAAAUAUUAAAUAGGUACAGGAUGGGCCCGCGUCUGAUUAGCCAGUUGGCAGGGUAACGGCCUACCAAAGCGACGAUCAGUAGCCGGCUUGAGAGAGUGAACGGCCACAUUGGGACUGAGACACGGCCCAAACUCCUACGGAAGGCAGCAG
rnacentral:rRNA from 1 species